CAGGUGAAAAUGAAAAACGACCUGCAAAACCAGAAGGGGGAAAUAAAAAACCUGUCAAACCAGAAGGAUAUAACUAUGCCCUUGGAAAAAAAGCAGCACAG